rnacentral:rRNA from 1 species
GAUGAACGCUGGCGGCGUGCCUAAUACAUGCAAGUCGAGCGAACGGACGAGAAGCUUGCUUCUCUGAUGUUAGCGGCGGACGGGUGAGUAACACGUGGAUAACCUACCUAUAAGACUGGGAUAACUUCGGGAAACCGUAGCUAAUACCGGAUAAUAUUUUGAACCGCAUGGUUCAAAAGUGAAAGACGGUCUUGCUGUCACUUAUAGAUGGAUCCGCGCUGCAUUAGCUAGUUGGUAAGGUAACGGCUUACCAAGGCAACGAUGCAUAGCCGACCUGAGAGGGUGAUCGGCCACACUGGAACUGAGACACGGUCCAGACUCCUACGGGAGGCAGCAGUAGGGAAUCUUCCGCAAUGGGCGAAAGCCUGACGGAGCAACGCCGCGUGAGUGAUGAAGGUCUUCGGAUCGUAAAACUCUGUUAUUAGGGAAGAACAUAUGUGCAAGUAACUGUGCACAUCUUGACGGUACCUAAGCAGAAAGCCACGGCUAACUACGU